rnacentral:rRNA from 1 species
UUUAGUAAUUGCGAAUGAACAAGGAUAUGCUUAGCUUGACAAAUGGAGCUAUUGGCUUUGAAUUGUAUUGUGGAAAUGUAUUACCAACAGAGGUGCAGGUGCCAGCCUAUUGAAAUAAAGCGUCAAUGAGGGUGAGAAUCCUGUUUGUCAUGUGCAGCCCUUUGUGCACGGUGUAUAUUUGCUGAGUCACACUCCUUGGCAUUGGAAUGCAAAGUGGGUGGUAAGUUUCAUGUAAAGGUAAACAUGCAAUUGAGACUGAUAGCACACAAGUACCAUGAGGGAAAUAUGAAAAGGACUUUGAAAAGAGAAUUAAAUGAGUUUGUAUUUGCUGAACACAAAGUAAACAGACUUGAUUUGCUUGGUGGGAGUGUUGCACUUGCUUGACAAGAGCUUUGGGCUGUGGGUGUAAUGAUUCUUUCUUUGCAUGCCAGUUUCUAUUUGUACAUCUGAUUACCUUUGCACAUGAAUGAUAAGUCUCCUGUGGGGGGUGGAUUGCAUGUGCAUGUAAUGAUUUGUGUUUUGAUAAAUGUGUCUGGUGUAUGUGUGUGUUCCUGUGCUUGGGGAUGCUUCCUUCCUUGGACUUACAAGCCCUGACACACACAUGCUGGCAAAAUGCUUCUGCUUGACCCGUCUUGAAACACGGACCAAGGAGUCUAACAGAUGUGCAAAGUUUGAAGGUGGUAUACCUUUGUGUGCAAUGAAAGUGUCAGCUGGGAUAUGUGCACCAGCACCCAAUUAAUUAGCGGACAGAGGUUUGAGUUGGAGCAUAUCUAUUAGGACCCGAAAGAUGGUGAACUAUGCCUGAACAGAAUGAAUUCAGAGGAAACUCUGAUGGAGGUUCGUAUCGAUACUGACGUGCAAAUCGUUCGUCAUAUUUGGGUAUAGGGGCGAAAGACUAAUCGAACCAUCUAGUAGCUGGUUCCCUCCGAAGUUUCCCUCAGGAUAGCUGGAGUUGCUCAGUUUUAUCAGGUAAAGCGAAUGAUUAGAGGAAUUGGGGACAGGUUUGUCUUUGACCUAUUCUCAAACUUUAAAU